rnacentral:rRNA from 1 species
AUGGGAGGAGGACUGCUGGAGCACCUCAGGACGUCGGUGUGGUUCUACGUGGCGCCAGUGGUGGCGGCCUGCGCGCCCAUCGGCGUCCUCAGGACCUACUUCAACCAGCACCUCCGGCGGCCCCUCCGCCGGCUCCUCCCGUUCCUCGACCCCUUCGUCACCAUCGACAUCACGGCCGGCGACUCCGACGACAGCUACUACUACGAGUCCCGCGGCAGGGCCAAGUCGAGCGACGCCUACGCGGAGGUGCUGGCGUACCUAAGCGCGGCGUGCUCGCGGGAGGCGCGGGAGCUCCGGGCCGAGGGCGCCGCCGAGGGCCACGGCUUCGUGCUCAGCCUCCGCCAGGGCCAGGAGGUCGCCGACGAGUUCCAGGGCGUCACCAUGUGGUGGUCCGCCGUCGCUCCGGACCAGCAGCAGCAGGGCGCCCGGGGUUGCUGCCGCCUUACCUUCCAUGAGCGCCACCGGAAGCUCGUCGUCGAUGAGUACCUGCCGCACGUCCGCUGUGCUGGCCAGGAGGUCACCUUCCUCAACCGCCGUCGCAGGCUCUACUCCAACAAGGAGGGCGUCAGCUACUACUCGUCGUCCAGGGAGGUGUGGAGCUACAUAGACUUCAACCACCCAACCACCUUCCAAACCCUAGCCAUGGACCCCGCCAAGAAGCAG